AUGAUGAUGUCUCUGACUCUACUGCUGGCCACCCUGGGGCUCCUUGUUCAGGGUUCAUCAGCAGAAAUCAUCCUGACUCAGUCUCCUGGAUCUCAGUCUGUCGUUCCAGGACAGACUGUCUCUAUCAGAUGUAAAGUCAGUUCAUAUGUUGGUAACAACAUCCAAUGGUACCUUCAGAAACCUGGAGAAGCUCCUAAACUCCUGAUUUAUGAUUCUGCAACACGUCACUCUGGAGUUUCAGAUCGUUUUAGUGGACGUGGAUCUGACCCUGACUACACUCUGACCAUUAGUGGAGUUCAGAGUGGAGAUUCAGGAGUUUAUUACUGUCAGCAGGAUUACAGCUUCCCAUUCACACAGUGA